GGGUUGUGAGGUUAAGCGACUAAGCGUACACGGUGGAUGCCCUGGCAGUCAGAGGCGAUGAAGGACGUGCUAAUCUGCGAUAAGCGUCGGUGAGGUGAUAUGAACCGUUAUAACCGGCGAUUUCCGAAUGGGGAAACCCAGUGUGAUUCGUCACACUAUCAUUAACUGAAUCCAUAGGUUAAUGAGGCGAACCGGGGGAACUGAAACAUCUAAGUACCCCGAGGAAAAGAAAUCAACCGAGAUUCCCCCAGUAGCGGCGAGCGAACGGGGAGGAGCCCAGAGCCUGAAUCAGUGUGUGUGUUAGUGGAAGCGUCUGGAAAGGCG
rnacentral:rRNA from 1 species